GAUGAACGCUGGCGGCGUGCCUAACACAUGCAAGUCGAACGCUCGCAAGAGAGUGGCGCACGGGUGAGUAACACGUAGUUAAUCUGCCCUCAAGACAAGGAUAACUGUAGGAAACUACUGCUAAUACUUGAUAAGCUUACGGACUGUAGAGGUCUAUAAGAAAGAUUUAUCGCUUGAGGAUGAGGCUGCGCGCCAUCAGCUAGUUGGUAAGGUAAUGGCUUACCAAGGCGACGACGGCUAGGGGACCUGAGAGGGUGACCCCCCACACUGGGACUGAGACACGGCCCAGACUCCUACGGGAGGCAGCAGUGAGGAAUAUUGCUCAAUGGGCGCAAGCCUGAAGCAGCGACGCCGCGUGGAUGAAGAAGGUUUUCGGACUGUAAAAUCCUUUUCUGUGUGACGAGAGUGGACGGUAGCACAGGAAUAAGUCUCGGCUAACUACGUGCCAGCAGCCGCGGUAA
rnacentral:rRNA from 1 species